rnacentral:rRNA from 1 species
CAGGACGAACGCUGGCGGCGUGCCUAAUACAUGCAAGUCGAACGGUCUUUCUAUGGAAGCUUGCUUCCACUGAAAGAUAGUGGCGAACGGGUGAGUAACACGUGGGUAACCUGCCCAUAAGAGGGGGGAUAACAUCCGGAAACGGGUGCUAAUACCGCAUAGUUUUCUUGAUCGCAUGAUCGGGAAAGGAAAGACGGCCUUUGUGCUGUCGCUUAUGGAUGGACCCGCGGCGUAUUAGUUAGUUGGUGAGGUAACGGCUCACCAAGACGAUGAUACGUAGCCGACCUGAGAGGGUGAUCGGCCACAUUGGGACUGAGACACGGCCCAAACUCCUACGGGAGGCAGCAGUAGGGAAUCUUCCGCAAUGGACGAAAGUCUGACGGAGCAACGCCGCGUGAGUGGAAGAAGGUUUUCGGAUCGUAAAACUCUGUUGUCAGAGAAGAACAAGUUGGAGAGUAACUGCUCCAGCCUUGACGGUAUCUGACCAGAAAGCCACGGCUAACUACGUGCCAGCCGCCGC